rnacentral:rRNA from 1 species
CACAAGUAAGAUUAGUGUUAUUCAUCUUUAUUAGGUUUAAAGGGUACCUAGACGGCAAAAGCAACUUCUAAAAAGUAUAUCUUUGCUAGAGUUUUAUGUGAGAGGUAAAUAUUAGAACUAUCGGUGUAGGGAUGAAAUCCCUUGAUACUGAUAGAAUGUGUAACGGCGAAGACAACCCUCUAUAGUAUCAAACUGACGUUGAGGGACGAAGGCUUGGGGAGCAAACAGG